UCUGGUAUUGAUUGGUGCUUGCCUCACGAUUUACAUUUGAGUGAGUCGUGACUGGUGAGUAACACGUGGGACACCUGCCCAGAAGCGGGGGAUAACACCUGGAAACAGAUGCUAAUACCGCAUAACAACUUGGACCGCAUGGUCCGAGUUUGAAAGAUGGCUUCGGCUAUCACUUUUGGAUGGUCCCGCGGCGUAUUAGCUAGAUGGUGGGGUAACGGCUCACCAUGGCAAUGAUACGUAGCCGACCUGAGAGGGUAAUCGGCCACAUUGGGACUGAGACACGGCCCAAACUCCUACGGGAGGCAGCAGUAGGGAAUCUUCCACAAUGGACGAAAGUCUGAUGGAGCAACGCCGCGUGAGUGAAGAAGGGUUUCGGCUCGUAAAACUCUGUUGUUAAAGAAGAACAUAUCUGAGAGUAACUGUUCAGGUAUUGACGGUAUUUAACCAGAAAGCCACGGCUAACUACGUGCCAGCAGCCGCGGUAAUACGUAGGUGGCAAGCGUUGUCCGGAUUUAUUGGGGCGUAAAGCGAGCGCAGGCGGUUUUUUAAGUCUGAUGUGAAAGCCUUCGGCUCAACCGAAGAAGUGCAUCGGAAACUGGGAAACUUGAGUGCAGAAGAGGACAGUGGAACUCCAUGUGUA
rnacentral:rRNA from 2 species